UACGUAGGGGGCAAGCGUUGUCCGGAAUCAUUGGGCGUAAAGCGCGUGUAGGCGGUCCGGUAAGUCGGCUGUGAAAGUCCAGGGCUCAACCCUGGGAUGCCGGUCGAUACUGCCGGACUAGAGUUCGGAAGAGGCGAGUGGAAUUCCCGGUGUAGCGGUGAAAUGCGCAGAUAUCGGAGGAAGAACCAGCCGUAGGCGAAGCGCUGCGUCUGGA
rnacentral:rRNA from 1 species